AUGCCUUAAACUUUUGAGUAAGGAAAAUGAAGAUGCGUGGUGAGCCCAAGUCCUCACUGCUAAUGUGAGAUGGAAUUUUUGAGUGAGUAAAGGUUGCCCCUAAUACGCCCCACCCACUUUGAGGGAUGCCUGGGUGCAGUAGUCUACCUG